rnacentral:rRNA from 1 species
UACGUAGGGGGCGAGCGUUGUCCGGAUUUAUUGGGCGUAAAGAGCGUGUAGGCGGCCAGGUAGGUCUGCUGUGAAAACUCGAGGCUCAACCUCGAGACGUCGGCGGAAACCAUCCGGCUAGAGUCCGGAAGAGGAGAGUGGAAUUCCUGGUGUAGCGGUGAAAUGCGCAGAUAUCAGGAAGAACACCCGUGGCGAAGGCGGCUCUCUGGGACGGUACUGACGCUGAGACGCGAAAGCGUGGGGAGCGAACAGG